rnacentral:rRNA from 1 species
GACGAACGCUGGCGGCGUGCUUAACACAUGCGAGUCGAACGGAAAGGCCCUGCUUUUGUGGGGUGCUCGAGUGGCGAACGGGUGUGUAACACGUGAGUAACCUGCCCUUGACUUUGGGAUAACUUCAGGAAACUGGGGCUAAUACCGGAUAGGAGCUCCUGCUGCAUGGUGGGGGUUGGAAAGUUUCGGCGGUUGGGGAUGGACUCGCGGCUUAUCAGCUUGUUGGUGGGGUAGUGGCUUACCAAGGCUUUGACGGGUAGCCGGCCUGAGAGGGUGACCGGCCACAUUGGGACUGAGAUACGGCCCAGACUCCUACGGGAGGCAGCAGUGGGGAAUAUUGCACAAUGGGCGGAAGCCUGAUGCAGCAACGCCGCGUGCGGGAUGACGGCCUUCGGGUUGUAAACCGCUUUCGCCUGUGACGAAGCGUGAGUGACGGUAAUGGGUAAAGAAGCACCGGCUAACUACGUG